rnacentral:rRNA from 1 species
UACGAAGGGGGCUAGCGUUGCUCGGAAUCACUGGGCGUAAAGGGUGCGUAGGCGGGUCUUUAAGUCAGGGGUGAAAUCCUGGAGCUCAACUCCAGAACUGCCUUUGAUACUGAGGAUCUUGAGUCCGGGAGAGGUGAGUGGAACUGCGAGUGUAGAGGUGAAAUUCGUAGAUAUUCGCAAGAACACCAGUGGCGAAGGCGGCUCACUGGCUCGGUACUGACGCUGAGGUGCGAAAGCGUGGGGAGCAAACAGG